rnacentral:tRNA from 1 species
GCUCCCGUAGUGUAGUCCGGCCAAUCAUCGAGGCCUCUCGAGUCUCAGACCCGGGUUCAAAUGGCGUGGAACAAAAUCCCACUUCAUACUACGGAAUUCCAUAGGAAUUCCGUACGUUGCUAGGAAUUGUGUAACAAUUCCGUUGCAUUUCAGUGCCACGCCCUGAAAAUCCCGGCGGGAGCA